CAAGCUUACAGAACGGAACCACCAAGUGCUGAAGCGUGUAAAAAAAUUGUCUGUCCUGUGACGUAACACUCACUGAGUUCCAAAUGGUAGUUGAAUAUCAGUUUUAUAUGAAAUGUAUUUUCCACCACACUGUCAUUACCACAACACUAAGUCAUUACCAUCAAGGUACAUAUUUUAGAGGUAAAGGUGCAUUAAAUUACAAUUGAUAUUGAUGAUUUUUCCCAUAUGUGAACAUUAUAUGCUUGUUCUCAAUAUUUUACAUUCCUUUAGAAAUUAUCUUAAGAUUUUUGUGGUAAAUACAUGUUUCUGAGUAUCAUCAAGGCAUAUAUGGACAUGACAAUGAUUAAUACAUAUGUUUAAGAAAACUUCCAAAUAGUAAAUUAAUAACAUUUAAAAAAAAAAAAAAAAAAGUGAAAUAUUAUGUAAAAGACCAUAUGCACAAUUUCGGUCAUUUCCUUUUCAACUAAAAUUGCACAUUUUAUGAUGUGUUGGUAAUGACAUUUCCCCUCUGGAAUUUGGUGAAACGAUACAAAUUAUUUUUAUCCUUAAAUAGUAUGAUCUCAGCCAAUAUUAAAUCUUGUAUCCAGACAGUGAAGAAAAUAUUCAGAUAGAUAAAAAGUAGUUUCAUUUUCCAAAACAUUUAACAUCCUAAAGUUACCAUAUAUUCAACCACAAGGAGGUACUAAUGAGCUAUGCGAGAUAUGUAUAUUUUUAAUCAUAAUAGAGGACUACUGCAAUUGUAUUAUUUCGGUGUAGAUAAGGAAAGGGCAGGUUAAAAACAUGAAUGCAGUGGAAAUUAACUGACUACGGGGGGGACAUUAUUUGGCAUGACAGGCCCAAUAUGGCUCCUCUGGUUUCUCUCUCUGCAUUUGGAUUGCUGCUGUUGUAUCUGCCUGCUCAGCACUGUACAGAGCCAAUCUGUCAUGGUCACCUCUCCUCACCCCCAGUUGUAGCACAGUUCUAGUGCCCUCUCCUGGACGACAGAGGCUCUCUUUCAGAGUAACUUGAUAAAGCCCACAUGUCCUCCACCCACUCUGAGAUCUGACCCCUCUCUCUCCAACUAGCUGACCCAUGUCUGAUGGAGAACAGUGAAAUCUAGACACUCACAAACACACCUCUUACCAAUCCAUCGAUGACGAAUGUUCCUCUUGUGGUUCGGGGAAAUGCCAAAGAUGGACUUGAUGCUCAUUCAGCCAUCCUUUCAAUGUUGUCUUUCAACUUUGAUUAUUUGAACUGCUGCCAUUUUAUAUGUGGACUAUUGUUGCUCUUCUGUUACUUUGUUGUUCCUAUGUUGGUCUAGAAAUCUUGUUCCUGUGGGUUAUAGAAUGGAUUGGCAAUCUGUUCUUAAUGUAAUAUGUACAAACAUUUUUAAAGGUGCAAUUCAAAUAUCUCUACCCCCCAUAAUGACAUGACCAAGUACAAACACAUUCAACCUGACACAAUCACAAAAACAGAUUGUAUGUUGGUUUUACACUCGAAAAAAUGCUCCACUAAGCUAGAUUCAAUCAGUUCUGCCUUAACCCUUGAUAACCGACAACAUUGUUUUUAUUAAGGCGAUGUUAGAGGUGUAACUGCAUUGGAGCUGUCAAAUCAUCAAACGCCUCCCGGAUUUAUAGCUAUCACGGACAUUGCCAUUGGAUGUGCAGAGACACAGUAGUAGUAAUCGCAUGUAGCCUUGUUACAAGCCGUCAAAUCGGUGAGCAGCUGCUCUUGUGAUCAUUGUCAAAAAGCCACACCUGCCCAUCUCACAUUAAAAGUUCAGGACAAGAAAGUGUAGGCUAUAUAGAAACAAUUACUCUCAAUUUGAAAAAUCAAUAACUAAAUCAUGAGGAUUUCAAUCAUCUUGAGGUGUAGAUUAUGUCACAAAUUCCAGUGAUUGAACUUGUCAACAAGGCUGCAUGGGGAUGUCUCUUAACGCUCCACUCCAUGCCGCCAAUGGCAAUGUCCGCUUUAGGUACAAUUUGAUAUUGAGAUAAAAAUGGCUGCAUUGGACCUUUAAAUGUAGCUAUUUUGAGUCUUUGGACCCUUUUACUCCCUUUGUAUAGCAGAAUAUUUGCUUGCUAAAUAACCUUUUAAGUACCUCUGUAAAUUCUUAUAUUUUUCAAUGGUGAAUUGCUGUAUACAGUUUAAGCACAGGAAUUUCACCAGUAUAUGUGGUGAUAAAACACAUGAAAGUUCAGACUGUUAAAACUGCUGCAACCGUUAGUGCUCUAUUUGGAAACUCGGAAAUGAUUUUCCGCUAGUGGUGUAAAGUUGUUAAGUAAAAAUACUUGAAAGUACUACUUAAGUAGUUUUAGGGAUAUCUGUACUUUACUAUUUAUAUUUUUGGCAACUUUUACUUCACUACAUUCCUAAAGAAAAUUCUAUACUUUUUA